GAUGAACGCUGGCGGCGUGCCUAAUACAUGCAAGUCGAGCGAACAGACGAGGAGCUUGCUCCUCUGACGUUAGCGGCGGACGGGUGAGUAACACGUGGAUAACCUACCUAUAAGACUGGGAUAACUUCGGGAAACCGGAGCUAAUACCGGAUAAUAUAUUGAACCGCAUGGUUCAAUAGUGAAAGACGGUUUUGCUGUCACUUAUAGAUGGAUCCGCGCCGCAUUAGCUAGUUGGUAAGGUAACGGCUUACCAAGGCAACGAUGCGUAGCCGACCUGAGAGGGUGAUCGGCCACACGGGAACUGAGACACGGUCCAGACUCCUACGGGAGGCAGCAGUAGGGAAUCUUCCGCAAUGGGCGAGAGCCUGACGGAGCAACGCCGCGUGAGUGAUGAAGGUCUUCGGAUCGUAAAACUCUGUUAUUAGGGAAGAACAAAUGUGUAAGUAACUAUGCACGUCUUGACGGUACCUAAUCAGAAAGCCACGGCUAACUACGUG
rnacentral:rRNA from 1 species